AACGAACGCUGGCGGCAUGCCUAACACAUGCAAGUCGAACGAGACCUUCGGGUCUAGUGGCGCACGGGUGCGUAACGCGUGGGAAUCUGCCCUUGGGUUCGGAAUAACUUCGGGAAACUGAAGCUAAUACCGGAUGAUGACGUAAGUCCAAAGAUUUAUCGCCCAAGGAUGAGCCCACGUAGGAUUAGCUAGUUGGUGAGGUAAAGGCUCACCAAGGCGACGAUCCUUAGCUGGUCUGAGAGGAUGAUCAGCCACACUGGGACUGAGACACGGCCCAGACUCCUACGGGAGGCAGCAGUGGGGAACAUUGGACAAUGGGCGAAAGCCUGAUCCAGCAAUGCCGCGUGAGUGAUGAAGGCCUUAGGGUUGUAAAGCUCUUUUACCCGGGAUGAUAAUGACAGUACCGGGAGAAUAAGCUCCGGCUAACUCCGUGCCAGCAGCCGCGGUAAUGUGACUACUG
rnacentral:rRNA from 1 species